AGUGAACGCUGGCGGUAGGCCUAACACAUGCAAGUCGAACGGCAGCACAGUAAGAGCUUGCUCUUACGGGUGGCGAGUGGCGGACGGGUGAGGAAUACAUCGGAAUCUACUUUUUCGUGGGGGAUAACGUAGGGAAACUUACGCUAAUACCGCAUACGACCUACGGGUGAAAGCAGGGGAUCUUCGGACCUUGCGCGAUUGAAUGAGCCGAUGUCGGAUUAGCUAGUUGGCGGGGUAAAGGCCCACCAAGGCGACGAUCCGUAGCUGGUCUGAGAGGAUGAUCAGCCACACUGGAACUGAGACACGGUCCAGGCUCCUACGGGAGGCAGCAGUGGGGAAUAUUGGACAAAGGGCGCAAUCCUGAUCCAGCCAUACCGCGUGGGUGAAGAAGGCCUUCGGGUUGUAAAGCCCUUUUGUUGGGAAAGAAAAGCAGCAGGUUAAUACCCCGCUGUUCUGACGGUACCCAAAGAAUAAGCACCGGCUAACUUCGUG
rnacentral:rRNA from 1 species